AUUCUUACUCCAUCAAUUUCAGUCCUUUCUGCGGUGAGUGGGAUCAGUACAUCGUUGGGUCAAGGAGCUGUUGUGGGGAUCACUAUAGCAAUCUUGGUAGUCCUAUUUUGUAUGCAACGAUUUG